rnacentral:rRNA from 1 species
GUACCCGUUAAAUGGAUAACUGUAAUAACGCUAGAGCUAAUACAUGCCACGAAGCCCUGACCCGCAAGGGAAUGGGUGCACUUAUUAGAUCAGAAGCCAACCAGGUGCCGGUCGCAAGACUGGUGCCUGCUGUCGUUCUGGUGACUCUGGAUAAUUGUUACAGAUCGCAGUCGGCCUUGAGUCGGCGACGGGUCCUUCAAAUGUCUG